rnacentral:rRNA from 1 species
GGAAACAGAUGCUAAUACCGGAUAACAACAGAUGAUGCCUAUCAACUGUUUAAAAGAUGGUUCUGCUAUCNACUCUUGGAUGGACCUGCGGUGCAUUAGCUAGUUGGUAGGGUAACGGCCUACCAAGGCGAUGAUGCAUAGCCGAGUUGAGAGACUGAUCGGCCACAUUGGGACUGAGACACGGCCCAAACUCCUACGGGAGGCAGCAGUC